AUACGGAGGGUGCAAGCGUUAUUCGGAAUCACUGGGCGUAAAGGACGCGUAGGCGGGUUGGCAAGUCAGAUGUGAAAUCCUACAGCUUAACUGUAGAACUGCAUUUGAAACUGCUAACCUAGAGUAUGGGAGGGGGAGGUGGAAUUAGUGGUGUAGGGGUAAAAUCCGUAGAUAUCACUAGGAAUACCGAAAGCGAAGGCGAUCUCCUGGAACAUAACUGACGCUAAGGCGUGAAAGCGUGGGGAGCAAACAGGAUUAGAAACCCUAGUAGUCC
rnacentral:rRNA from 1 species